rnacentral:tRNA from 1 species
GGGGAUGUGGCUCAGUGGUAGAGUUCUUGCCUAGCAUGUAUGAGGCACUGGGUUUGAUUCUCAGCACCACA